GCGGAGGGAUCAUUAAAGAGUUCUAUAACUCCCAAACCCAUGUGAACAUACCUAACGUUGCCUCGGCAGGUCGCACCUACCUUGUAGCACCCUACCCUGUAGGGCCUACCCGGGAGGUGCGGGUAAGCCUGCCGGCGGCCCACCAAACUCUGUUUGAUAUUGAAUUCUGAACCUAUAACUAAAUAAGUUAAAACUUUCAACAACGGAUCUCUUGGUUCUGGCAUCGAUGAAGAACGCAGCGAAAUGCGAUAAGUAAUGUGAAUUGCAGAAUUCAGUGAAUCAUCGAAUCUUUGAACGCAUAUUGCGCCCAUUAGUAUUCUAGUGGGCAGGACCGUUCGAGCGUCAUUUCAACCCUUAAGCCUUCGUUGCUUAGUGUUGGGAGCCUACGGCAACGUAGCUCCUCAAAGUUAGUGGCGGAGUUGGUUCACACUCUAGACGUAGUAAUUUUUUAUCUCGCCUAUUAGUUGGACUAAUCCCCUGCCGUAAAACCCCCAAUUUAUCAAGGUUGACCUCGAAUCGGUUCAGACAAACUCGCUAAAUUGAAGCAUCUUAGUCAGCGAAGGAAAAGAAACCAACAGGGAUUGCCCUAGUAACGGCGAGUGAAGCGGCAACA
rnacentral:rRNA from 1 species